AUUGAUUUUAUGCUUGCAUAAAUGAUUUUUGGAUUCGGAGCGAGUGUCGAACUGGUGAGUAACACGUGGGUAACCUGCCCCGAAGCGGGGGAUAACAUUUGGAAACAAGUGCUAAUACCGCAUAAUUAGUUGGAACCGCAUGGUUCCAACUUGAAAGAUGGCUCUGCUAUCACUUUGGGAUGGACCCGCGCCGUAUUAGUUAGUUGGUGAGAUAAAAGCCCACCAAGACGAUGAUACGUAGCCGACCUGAGAGGGUAAUCGGCCACAUUGGGACUGAGACACGGCCCAGACUCCUACGGGAGGCAGCAGUAGGGAAUCUUCCACAAUGGACGAAAGUCUGAUGGAGCAACGCCGCGUGAGUGAUGAAGGUUUUCGGAUCGUAAAACUCUGUUGUUAAAGAAGAACAAGUGUUAGAGUAACUGUUAACACUUUGACGGUAUUUAACCAGAAAGCCACGGCUAACUACGUGCCAGCAGCCGCGGUAAUACGUAGGUGGCAAGCGUUGUCCGGAUUUAUUGGGCGUAAAGCGAGCGCAGGCGGUUUUGUAAGUCUGCUGUGAAAGCCCUCAGCUCAACUGAGGAAGUGCAGUGGAAACUACAAAACUUGAGUACAGAAGAGGAAAGUGGAACUCCAUGUGUAGCGGUGAAAUGCGUAGAUAUAUGGAAGAACACCAGUGGCGAAGGCGGCUUUCUGGUCUGUUACUGACGCUGAGGCUCGAAAGCAUGGGUAGCGAACAGGAUUAGAUACCCUGGUAGUCCAUGCCGUAAACGAUGAAUACUAGGUGUUGGAGGGUUUCCGCCCUUCAGUGCCGCAGCUAACGCAUUAAGUAUUCCGCCUGGGGAGUACGACCGCAAGGUUGAAACUCAAAGGAAUUGACGGGGGCCCGCACAAGUGGUGGAGCAUGUGGUUUAAUUCGAUGCUACGCGAAGAACCUUACCAGCUCUUGACAUCUUCUGCCAACCCAAGAGAUUGGGCGUUCCCUUCGGGGACAGAAUGACAGGUGGUGCAUGGUUGUCGUCAGCUCGUGUCGUGAGAUGUUGGGUUAAGUCCCGCAACGAGCGCAACCCUUAUUAUUAGUUGCCAGCAUUUAGUUGGGCACUCUAGUGAGACUGCCGGUGAUAAA
rnacentral:rRNA from 1 species